UACGUAGGGUGCAAGCGUUAAUCGGAAUUACUGGGCGUAAAGCGUGCGCAGGCGGUUUUGCAAGACCGAUGUGAAAUCCCCGGGCUGAACCUGGGAAUGGCAUUGGUGACUGCACGGCUAGAGUGUGUCAGAGGGGGGUAGAUUUCCACGUGUAGCAGUGAAAUGCGUAGAGAUGUGGAGGAAUACCGAUGGCGAAGGCAGCCCCCUGGGAUAACACUGACGCUCAUGCACGAAAGCGUGGGGAGCAAACAGG
rnacentral:rRNA from 1 species